GACGAACGCUGGCGGCGUGCUUAACACAUGCAAGUCGAGCGGUAAGGCCUCUUCGGAGGUACACGAGCGGCGAACGGGUGAGUAACACGUGAGUAAUCUGCCCUUCACAUCGGAAUAACUUCGGGAAACCGAAGCUAAUACCGGAUACGACCACCGACGGCAUCGUCUGGUGGUGGAAAGCUCCGGCGGUGGAGGAUGAACUCGCGGCCUAUCAGCUUGUUGGUGGGGUAACAGCCCACCAAGGCGACGACGGGUAGCCGGCCUGAGAGGGUGACCGGCCACACUGGGACUGAGACACGGCCCAGACUCCUACGGGAGGCAGCAGUGGGGAAUAUUGGACAAUGGGCGAAAGCCUGAUCCAGCAACGCCGCGUGAGGGAUGACGGCCUC
rnacentral:rRNA from 1 species